rnacentral:rRNA from 1 species
AUACGUAGGGGGCGAGCGUUGUCCGGAAUGAUUGGGCGUAAAGGGCGCGUAGGCGGCCCGGUAAGUCUGGAGUGAAAGUCCUGUUUUUAAGAUGGGAAUUGCUUUGGAUACUGUCGGGCUUGAGUGCAGGAGAGGUAAGUGGAAUUCCCAGUGUAGCGGUGAAAUGCGUAGAGAUUGGGAGGAACACCAGUGGCGAAGGCGACUUACUGGACUGUAACUGACGCUGAGGCGCGAAAUUGUGGGGAGCAAACAGGAUUAUAUACCCUGGUGGUCCAGGCCGUAAACGGUGGGCGCUAGGUGUAGGGGUCUUCCACGACUUCUGUGCCGUAGCUAACACAUUAAGCGCCCCGCCUGGGGAGUACGGCCGCAAGGCUAAAACUCAAAUGAAUUGACGUGG